CUCACCAUACCCCACCUGGGGUGCAGGGAUGCACAUCUUGGUGUCUACUGGUGGUGAGACAGAGUUUAAUUUGACACAAGCAGGGGCAUGGCUUGGGAUGCAGCUGAGUGUGGCUUAUUGGUUUCACUGGGAGCAGAGAAGGAUUGGAGCAACCUCCACACCCCGGUCAGACACACACCACCGCUCUGUUGACUUAGCAGCUGCUACUGACAGGAGAACUGAUAAAGCUCUUGGAGAUAUUCCUGUCUCAUCUGUCUCGGUGAUUGCUUGCCCAUGGAGGUGCCUAUGAGGAUGACGAGCAGAGCACAUCCAGAGAAUGCACAGUUCUUGCCCCGAGCUGGGCUCUGCUACCUGUUCUGGUGCUGGCUCAUUCCCCCAAGUACUGCCAGGAAUCCAGAGGGGAAUUCCACCACAGCCUGGCAGGGCUGCCAGCACCUGCCUCAUGGCACUUCGGAAGUGUACCUAGGGAGGAGCCUCUUCCCAGCACCAGCAGUUUUUAUCCAAUAAGUAUGCAAAUCUCAGCAUAUUCCCGACGUUUCCUUCAGGCUCCAGAGGCUGCACGUGGCCUCGGAGGCUGGAUUCUACUGGUCAGUGGAAAUGCGGCUUACUCUGAAGAGGAUGCAGAAAGUGAAGUAUCAGAAAUACAG